UGCAUUACCACCGACCAGUCCUCAGCCGGCAACAUGAAGCUGGGUGGCCUCUGCCUCCUGCUCCUCCUCGCCGUCCUUCUCACCCUCAAUGCAGAGUUCCAAGCAGUUGAUGUAGGUAUCUGUGUGACGGAGUGCAAGGUAGACCAGGACUGUGGGGCAGGAAGACGAUGCACCAGCAAUGGAUGUGGCCGGGUCUGCUCCCCAGUCCGGCGAAGAGAGGCCUGCGAGCACCAGUGCAGAGAAGACAGGGACUGUGGGAGUGGACAUCCGUGCGUGAGGAAGGGCUGUGGGCACGUCUGCGCCCCCGUCCAUCAAGUCGGGAUCUGUGUGACGGAGUGCAAGGUAGACCAGGACUGUGGGGCAGGAAGACGAUGCACCAGCAAUGGAUGUGGCCGGGUCUGCUCCCCAAUCCAGCGAAGAGAGGCCUGCGAGCACCAGUGCAGAGAAGACAGGGACUGUGGGAGUGGACAUCAGUGCGUGAGGAAGGGCUGUGGGCACGUCUGCGCCCCCGUCCAUCAAGUCGAUGUAGGUAUCUGUGUGACGGAGUGCCGUGUAGACCAGGACUGUGGGGCAGGAAGACGAUGCACCAGCAAUGGAUGUGGCCGGGUCUGCUCCCCAAUCCAGCGAAGAGAGGCCUGCGAGCACCAGUGCAGAGAAGACAGGGACUGUGGGAGUGGACAUCAGUGCGUGAGGAAGGGCUGUGGGCACGUCUGCGCCCCCGUCCAUCAAGUCGGUAUCUGUGUGACGGAGUGCAACGUAGACCAGGACUGUGGGGAAGGAAGACAAUGCACCAGCAAUGGGUGUGGCCGUGUCUGCUCCCCAGUCCAGCAAGAAGAUGUAGGUAUCUGUGUGACGGAGUGCAAGGUAGACCAGGACUGUGGGGAAGGAAGACGAUGCACCAGCAAUGGGUGUGGCCGUGUCUGCUCCCCAGUCCAGCAAAAAGAGGCCUGCGAGCACCAGUGCAGAGAAGACAGGGACUGUGGGAGUGGACAUCAGUGCGUGAGGAAGGGCUGUGGGCACGUCUGCGCCCCCGUCCAUCAAGUCGAUGUAGGUAUCUGUGUGACGGAGUGCAAGGUAGACCAGGACUGUGGGGAAGGAAGACGAUGCACCAGCAAUGGAUGUGGCCGUGUCUGCUCCCCAGCCCAGCAAAGAGAGGCCUGCGAGCACCAAUGCAGAGAAGACAAGGACUGUGGGAGUGGACAUCAGUGCGUGAGGAAGGGCUGUGGGCACGUCUGCUCCCCCAUCCCUCAAGUAGGUAUCUGUGUGACGGAGUGCAAUGUAGACCAGGACUGUGGGGCAGGAAGACGAUGCACCAGCAAUGGAUGUGGCCGUGUCUGCUCCCCACCCCAGGGAGGAGG
rnacentral:lncRNA from 1 species